AUACCGCCUAUAUACCGCCGUCGUCAGCCUACCCUGUGAAGGACUAGAAGUGAGCAAGAUUGGUAAGACCCAAAACGUCAGGUCGAGGUGUAGUGUAUGAGAGGGGAAGAAAUGGGCUACAUUUCCUAAGUCAGGAAAUACGAAUAAUGAACUGAAAUAAGCAUUAGAAGGUGGAUUUAGCAGUAAGCAGUAAAACAGAGUGUUCUGCUGAAAUAUGGCAAUAAAGCACGCACAUAUCGCCCGUCACUCUCCCCAAGCUAACACAAAGCAAAUACCUAAAAAACUACAUCUGCAAAGGGGAGGCAAGUCGUAACAUGGUAAGCGUACCGGAAGGUGCGCUUGGAACAAU
rnacentral:rRNA from 1 species